GAGAAAAAGAAUGCUUAAUUUAAAUGUAUAUUUAAAUUCAUGUCCCCAUUUUAGUUUAAGUCUGAAGUAUCGAUUAAUUUAAGUAAGCCGCCAGGUGGGCCAUUUGUCGAGGCAGAAGAGAACAGCUGAUGUUUUAAUUAAGUGUCUUGGCAGAAACAGAAGGUAGCCAUUGUUCAUUUUAGGGCGUAUAUAGCCAUUGGCAACUCGUUUCUUACUGUACUUUAUUGGUGUGAAUUCUCACCUUGUGACUCCCUUUUUCUCAUUUGAUUCUCUGAGAUUAGGCCGGAUUAGGCCCUAGAUUUGAUUUUGUGUCGUUUGUGUCUACGAUUGCCUUAUUGACCAGCUCCUAAUUGUGGAUGCUAGGCAAUUUGUGCUCCGUGCAUUUUGUAUUGACGAAUAAACCCUUGCAUCGAUUAGAAGCAAUUGAUAGGCCUACGCCCCCCUCUUCGACUGUCUCAUUCUCUCGCUGCAACAGGCAUGAUCUAUGAUUAAGAGGUCUACGAACCGUAGUCUGCUAGCAGUGUUGUCUGGUAAUUCUUUAAAAUAAAAUUGGGGCAUCCGCUUGGUGCGGUUGCUGUCCGGGUCAGUCAUACCAGGGGUAUGGAGAGAUGGUUGCCAAUGACAGGGUUAAAUUUCCCUUAAGGGGAGGCUCCAGCAAUUUUACAAAAAGGUCUCUCCGACUGUUGUGCCACCAAAUAGGUGUGUAAGGAAAAAAAAACAAAUUUUCUUUUCGUCUGCUUUUAUUGUUUUCAAGUACAUUUUGACACUUUGGAGUGUUUGUGAAUAGUUGAAUUUGUUUUAGAAAAAUGUUGGUCUCUGUAACGCUUGGAUUCAAAAAAUAUCUGAUAUACUCCAUUAUGAGAAAAGGUAAAGACUGAGAUCUGUGGGUUUCACAAAAUAUCGGAUGAAUAUUUGAGUUAGAAAUAGCAUCGAUACAGAACUCUCCAUAGUCCACAAUGCCCCUCCACUUUUUGUUUCGUUUGUCUUAAUCCAUACCUGGUUUGAGUUUAACUUCGUCCCACAUAAUACUACAGCAUCGGUCAUGUUUAGGUUUACCCUUAAUGUCUUCUCCGACGUUGAAUAAAGCUAGUUCAUUCGAACCGAAAUUGCACUCCAUG
rnacentral:lncRNA from 1 species